UGGGUAGUCCGCACGAGCGCAACCCCUAUCCUUAUUUGCCAGCACGUAAUGGUGGGAACUCUAGGGAGACUGCCGGUGAUAAACCGGAGGAAGGUGGGGACGACGUCAAGUCAUCAUGGCCCUUACGAGUAGGGCUACACACGUGCUACAAUGGCGUAUACAGAGGGUUGCAAAGCCGCGAGGUGGAGCUAAUCUCACAAAGUACGUCGUAGUCCGGAUCGGAGUCUGCAACUCGACUCCGUGAAGUCGGAAUCGCUAGUAAUCGUGGAUCAGAAUGCCACGGUGAAUACGUUCCCGGGCCUUGUACACACCGCCCGUCACACCAUGGGAGUGGGCUGCAAAAGAAGUGGGUAGUUUAACCUUCGGGAGAACGCUCACCACUUUGUGGUUCAUGACUGGGGUGAAGUCGUAACAAGGUAGCCCUAGGGGAACCUGGGGCUGGAUCACCUCCUU
rnacentral:rRNA from 1 species